ACUCAAAGGAAUAGACGGGGGCCCGCACAAGCAGCGGAGCGUGUGGUUUAAUUCGACGCAACGCGCAGAACCUUACCGAGCCUUGACAUGGGUCUGCAUGUCCGUGAAAGCGGGCAGCCUUCGAGGGUGACCCACUGGUGCUGCAUGGCUGUCGUCAGCUCGUGUCGUGAGAUGUUGGGUUCAGUCCCGCAACGAGCGCAACCCCUACGGUCAGUUACUGGUGUCUGACUGGACUGCCCUUCGGGGAGGAAGGUGGGGAUGACGUCAAGUCCGCAUGGCCCAUAUGGCUCGGGCGACACACACGCUACAAUGGCGCCGACAAUGCGUAGCCACGUGGUAACACGCAGCGAAUCGCCCAAACGGCGUCCCAGUGCAGAUUGGGGGCUGCAACUCGCCCCCAUGAAGGUGGAGUUGCUAGUAACCGCGUAUCAGCCAUGGCGCGGUGAAUGCGUACCCGGGCCUUGUACACACCGCCCGU
rnacentral:rRNA from 1 species